rnacentral:rRNA from 1 species
GACGAACGCUGGCGGCGUGCCUAAUACAUGCAAGUCGAACGCUUCUUUCCUCCCGAGUGCUUGCACUCAAUUGGAAAGAGGAGUGGCGGACGGGUGAGUAACACGUGGGUAACCUACCCAUCAGAGGGGGAUAACACUUGGAAACAGGUGCUAAUACCGCAUAACAGUUUAUGCCGCAUGGCAUAAGAGUGAAAGGCGCUUUCGGGUGUCGCUGAUGGAUGGACCCGCGGUGCAUUAGCUAGUUGGUGAGGUAACGGCUCACCAAGGCCACGAUGCAUAUCCGACCUGCGAGGGUGAUCGGCCACACUGGGACUGAGACACGGCCCAGACUCCUACGGGAGGCAGCAGUAGGGAAUCUUCGGCAAUGGACGGAAGUCUGACCGAGCAACGCCGCGUGAGUGAAGAAGGUUUUCGGAUCGUAAAACUCUGUUGUUAGAGAAGAACAAGGACGUUAGUAACUGAACGUCCCCUGACGGUAUCUAACCAGAAAGCCACGGCUAACUACGUGCCAGCAGCCGCAGUAA